ACCGUCCCACGUUCAGAUUGCAGUCUGCAACUCGACUGCAUGAAGUCGGAAUCGCUAGUAAUCGCGGAUCAGCAUGCCGCGGUGAAUACGUUCCCGGGCCUUGUACACACCGCCCGUCACACCAUGAGAGUCGGGAACACCCGAAGUCCGUAGCCUAACCGCAAGGAGGGCGCGGCCGAAGGUGGGUUCGAUAAUUGGGGUGAAGUCGUAACAAGGUAUC
rnacentral:rRNA from 1 species